GAUCCCGCGACGGUCCGAGAGCUCCGCGAGCUCGUGGAGGCUAGUGCGCCGACGGUGCUAUGCUUGGUGGAGACACAGUUAGCGAAGUAUCGUGUGGAAGGUUUGACGGCAAAUUUAGGUUUCUCGGAGAGAUUUGUGGUUGCUAGUAGGGGUCGUAGUGGCGGCCUUUGUAUUUUCUAUAAACAAGGGAUAAACUUGGAAAUAAAAACCUUUUCCCAGUAUCACAUUGACUCUUUUGUAACAGAACCGGGCAAGGAUCAAUGGCGUCUAUUUAUUUUCUAUGGUGAAGCCAACAGGAGUCUCAGAUAUAAAACAUGGGAUACGAUGAAAAUUUUGCGGGGAGAAAGUACUCUCCCUUGGGUUUGUAUUGGGGACUUUAAUGAAAUCCUUAGACCGGAAGAGCAGAUGGGGCCGAAUCAACGUGACAGUGCGCAGAUUGCUGGUUUCAGAGAGGCGUUGGAUGUGUGCGAGUUAGCUGACUUGGGUUACAAGGGUUUGGAUUGGACUUUCGAGAAACGAGUGACAGGAGGAGAUUACUGCAGGGUCCGUCUUGAUUGA
rnacentral:rRNA from 1 species